rnacentral:ncRNA from 1 species
UUGAGCCGUAUGAGGGGAAACUCUCACGUACGGUUCUUAGAGGGGAAGGGAGUAGUAAUACUCCUGACCUACUCGAU